rnacentral:lncRNA from 1 species
AGAGACGGUCAUCUGCUCCUGUUCUUGCCAUUCGCGGGGUCUGCCUCCAGCAAGUUCUCCUUCAGCAUUCUGAGUGUACCACGGGACAGCUAGGGUCUCGCUCUGUUGCCCAGGAUGGAGUGCAGUGACGCCAUUAUGGCUCACUGCAGCCUCGACCUCCCUGGGCUCAAGCAAUCCUCCCACUUCAGCCUCCUGAGUAGCUGGGACUACAGGCGCACACCAGCAUGUUUAGCUAAUUUUCGUAUUUUUUGUAUUGAUGGAUUUUCACCUGUUGGCCAGGUUGGUCUUGCACUCCUGAGUUCAAGCGGUCCACCCGUCUUGGCCUUCCAUGUGCUGGGAUUACAGGCGUGAGCCACCUCGCUCGGCCUGGAUACACCAGGUUCGCCCAGCCACCUCGCUCG